rnacentral:misc_RNA from 1 species
GAUGAAGAACGUAGCGAAAUGCGAUACGUAAUGUGAAUUGCAGAAUUCAGUGAAUCAUCGAAUCUUUGAACGCAUAUUGCGCUCUCUGGUAUUCCGGAGAGCAUGCUUGUUUGAGUAUCAGUAAACACCUCAACUUCCAUAUCUUUUUUGAAAUGGGAGUUGGACUUGAGUGAUCCCAACGCUUUUCCUCACCGAAAAGUGGCGGGUUACUUGAAAUGCAGGUGCAGCUGGACUUUUCUCUGAGCUAUACGCAUAUCUAUUUAGUCUGCCUAAAAAACAGAUUAUUACCUUUGCUGCAGCUAACAUAAAGGAGGUUAGUUCUUGUGCUGACUGAUGCAGGAUUCACAAAGACGGCUUCGGCCGACUUUGUAAACUCGAUCUCAAAUCAAGUAAGACUACCCGCUGAACUUAAGCAUAUCAAUAAGCGGAGGA